AUUGAACGCUGGCGGCAGGCCUAACACAUGCAAGUCGAACGAGUGGCGGACGGGUGAGUAAUGUCUGGGCAACUGCCUGACGGCGGGGGAUCACUGCUGGAAACGGUAGCUAAUACCGCAUACCAUCAGAUGUGCCCAGAUGGGAUUAGCUUGUUGGUGUGGUAACGGCUCAUCAAGACGACGAUCCCUAGCUGGUCUGAGAGGCUGACCGGCCAAAAUGGAACGGAGAAACGGUCCAGACGCAUACGGGAGGCAGAAGUGGGGAAUAGUGGACAAGGGGCGCAAGCCGGAUGAAGCAACGCCGCGUGUAUGAAGAAGGCCUUCGGAUGGUAAAGUUCUUGCAGCAGGGAGGCGUUACCCACAGAGGAAGCACCGGCUAACUACGUGCCAGCAGCCGCGGUAAUAC
rnacentral:rRNA from 1 species